rnacentral:rRNA from 1 species
CCUAACACAUGCAAGUCGAACGGUAACAGGAAGAAGCUUGCUUCUUUGCUGACGAGUGGCGGACGGGUGAGUAAUGUCUGGGAAACUGCCUGAUGGAGGGGGAUAACUACUGGAAACGGUAGCUAAUACCGCAUAACGUCGCGAGACCAAAGAGGGGGACCUUCGGGCCUCUUGCCAUCGGAUGUGCCCAGAUGGGAUUAGCUAGUAGGUGGGGUAACGGCUCACCUAGGCGACGAUCCCUAGCUGGUCUGAGAGGAUGACCAGCCACACUGGAACUGAGACACGGUCCAGACUCCUACGGGAGGCAGCAGUGGGGAAUAUUGCACAAUGGGCGCAAGCCUGAUGCAGCCAUGCCGCGUGUAUGAAGAAGGCCUUCGGGUUGUAAAGUACU